rnacentral:piRNA from 1 species
UUGGUAAAACAGGUAAUUAUGGCACGCA